rnacentral:lncRNA from 1 species
CUUGAAUAUACAACAAAUUUUGAAUCUCAUCAAGUACAAAAAUAUUUAACGUGUAACCAAAAUAUGCUCAUGAAAUCGAAAUUAAUAGCUAAAUUUUCAAACUAGACCCUUCUCGAACCGGUUUUCAUGAAGGAAGUUCACAUUUCGGCCUUUGAUUCUUGGCAAAAAUUUGACCACAACACGUGCGAAGCAACUGGGUCUCAAAGACUCAGCUAAAACAUUGUGAGCCCCUAUUUUCCCGACGAUAUGUUUGAUACCUACAAACGCCGAAAAGCUUUUUCUUUUCAUUUAGCUAUAUUUGAAAUUGAGGCCACGGGAUAUUUUUGAGAAAAUACAGUUCAAAGUCAAGCUAUUUUUACAUAUUUUCAAAAUUUGUCAAAUUUCGCGAGCUUGUAUUUUGAACUUAGACAGCUGAAGUUACAUUAAGAAACAUAGGAUGGAAGAUUUGAG